AGCCAAAAGCAUGGAUGUGUAUCCCUUACAUUUUUUUCCAGCUUUCCAAAUGAAGGCUGAAAUGCAUCUAAGGUACUCUAAGGCAUAUUCACUGACUGAAACAUGAACUGCUAAGCAGACCAGCGGUUGAGUGCUUCAGAUGGAAAACAGGCUGAGUAGUUUUUGGAAAGCAGAAGCAGUGCUAGAUCUGUUGAUAGAAUUGUUGUGUCUUGCAUCCGUGGUUUCUUCCUGAAUGAUUGACAGAGCUGCACUGACAGCAGCUCACUACCCCAGACCAAAAUUAUCAGGCUAAUGAGUCAAUGGUAGAAGGAGGAGGUGUGAAGCACCUUUAAUUGAAAGACUCCACACAUCUGCAGAGGCAUUUUAUGAGUGAAGCUGAUGGAGAAUGUUACAGAGGAGACUCUUGUUCUCUCUUUCAGGGAGCGUAGCAGCAGACCCAAGCUUGACAGAUUUCAUAUUUUACACACUGCGAUGCCACCAUGCGGGAGGUCAGUAUCUUUUCUCCGGUUAGGAUGUCAUUGUAUUUCAUCUUAACAAAUACACUGCAAAUCCUAAUGAAUACAUUGAUUUGUCUUCCUUUAACAGAUUUAUCCUUAGAUAAUAGAUCUAGUUUCUGUUAGCUACAAAGGCAGCAUCCAGACUGUGACUUCCAACAGCUUAAUCAAUCACUGGUAUUUCAGUCUGCAUCAAGACUGUUUGACCUGCCCGUUAAAUCUUUCCUCUGUGCACAGAUAGAAGUGCACACAGUUAAUUUAUCAAGAACUAAAAUUCAUACAAGAACUUCAAUAUUUAAAUACUGAAGUUCUUGGAUAUACAGGGACAAAUUGUGACAAGUAAAGACAGGUGUGCUUCUCAUAGUGCAAGUGCUCUUGGUAAUUCUGAACUGAUUUUGACAUUUUGCUGGUAUUGUACGGGGAGACUUUGGCAAACCAGUAAAGUGCCUAA